rnacentral:misc_RNA from 1 species
AUUAAAAAAUAAAAUUCGAAUAAUCCAUGCAUUAAACGGUGUCGUCUUAAUCUCCUCCCAAUUAAACGACGUCACAUUUCAUUUACGGUUUUAUGUACGCCUUUGCUCGACUGUAUCUAGAAAAUCCCUUUCUAGAAGCUAAGAAAGGGAGAUGAGGCCGAUGCAGAUGGACUUCUUUGCCGAUAUGGAGGAGCAGGGAUCGACGGUGGCGAUGGACGUGGACGACGUAGACCCACUCGAGAUCUUCGGUGAGGGCGUCAUCAACGUCGACAACAAGCUUGCUGACGCUGAUUUCUUCAACAAUUUCGAGGACGAUUUCGAUGACUCCGACAUCAAUUGAUCCUCUUCUAUUCCCUAUUGCCACUGGCUAUGUACCUUUUCUUCUAUUCCCCUAUCGCCACUGACUAUGUACCUUUUCUUUUCUUCUAUCUUAGGAAAUUUGAGGAAGAAAAAGAAAAGAAGGGUUUGCUUGGAAACUAUUUGCCAUUUGGAUCAUUAUAUGCUUUUAUUGAAUUGUGAAGUUACUAUUGCCUUGUUGCUUUCGCCGUAUUGUAUACGCCUGAAAAUAUAUGUGGGUUUUAUGGGGUUUCAGGUCUAUCUGAUAUUACUAAAAUGCGAUUUUUAGUUACUGAGGAACAUUUGGUUAAAAAAUGAAGCAUAUUAUAUAUGUGGAUUUCUGUAUUUGUGGUGAUUAGUGUCAGUGCUGAUUGAACAUGGGACUAGAAGUAAAAACAUUAUAGAUGGAAUUAUUUUGCUUUCUAUUGUGUAUUUCUGGCUCCAUAACUGGUUUAUAUGAGGCUUAGUUGUUUGCUUAUUUGCUUUUAUUUU